GACAGAGGGUGCAAACGUUGCUCGGAAUCACUGGGCGUAAAGGGCGUGUAGGCGGAUAGAUAAGUCGGGCGUGAAAUCCCCAGGCUCAACCUGGGAACUGCACUCGAAACUGUUUAUCUUGAGUGCCGGAGAGGAAAGCGGAAUUCCUGGUGUAGAGGUGAAAUUCGUAGAUAUCAGGAGGAACACCAGUGGCGAAGGCGGCUUUCUGGACGGUAACUGACGCUGAUGCGCGAAAGCCAGGGGAGCAAACGGG
rnacentral:rRNA from 1 species